CCCUUAGAUGUUCUGGGCCGCACGCGCGCUACACUGAUGCAUUCAACGAGCCUAUCCUUGACCGACAGGUCCGGGUAAUCUGUGAAUCUGCAUCGUGACGGGGAUAGAUUAUUGCAAUUAUUAAUCUUCAACGAGGAAUGCCUAGUAGGCGCAAGUCAUCAGCUUGCGUCGAUUACGUCCCUGCCCUUUGUACACACCGCCCGUCGCUCCUACCGAUUGGGUGUGCUGGUGAAAUGUUCGGAUCGGCCGUUUGUCGCGGUUUCCGCGUCAUGUGGCUGAGAAGUUCAUUAAACCCUCCCACCUAGAGGAAGGAGAAGUCGUAACA
rnacentral:rRNA from 1 species